UACAGAGGCGGCAAGCGUUGUUCGGAAUUACUGGGCGUAAAGGGCGCGUAGGCGGUCUUGUAAGUCCCGUGUGAAAUCCCUCGGCUCAACUGAGGAACUGCACGGGAAACUGCUUGGCUUGAGUUUGGGAGAGGGAUGCGGAAUUCCAGGUGUAGCGGUGAAAUGCGUAGAUAUCUGGAGGAACACCGGUGGCGAAGGCGGCAUCCUGGACCAACACUGACACUGAGGAGCGAAAGCCAGGGGAGCAAACGGG
rnacentral:rRNA from 1 species